rnacentral:rRNA from 1 species
UACGAAGGGGGCUAGCGUUGUUCGGAAUUACUGGGCGUAAAGCGCGCGCAGGCGGUUCUACAAGUCAGUGGUGAAAGCCCGGAGCUCAACUCCGGAACUGCCAUUGAAACUGCAGAACUUGAGGAUGAGAGAGGUGAGUGGAAUUCCCAGUGUAGAGGUGAAAUUCGUAGAUAUUGGGAAGAACACCUGUGGCGAAAGCGGCGCACUGGACCACAACUGACGCUGAGGCGCGAAAGCUAGGGGAGCAAACAGG